rnacentral:rRNA from 1 species
GCACAACGCGAAGAACCUUACCUACUCUUGACAUCCAGAGAACUUAGCAGAGAUGCUUUGGUGCCUUCGGGAACUCUGAGACAGGUGCUGCAUGGCUGUCGUCAGCUCGUGUUGUGAAAUGUUGGGUUAAGUCCCGCAACGAGCGCAACCCUUAUCCUUUGUUGCCAGCGAUUCGGUCGGGAACUCAAAGGAGACUGCCAGUGAUAAACUGGAGGAAGGUGGGGAUGACGUCAAGUCAUCAUGGCCCUUACGAGUAGGGCUACACACGUGCUACAAUGGCAUAUACAAAGAGAAGCGACCUCGCGAGAGCAAGCGGACCUCAUAAAGUAUGUCGUAGUCCGGAUUGGAGUCUGCAACUCGACUCCAUGAAGUCGGAAUCGCUAGUAAUCGUGGAUCAGAAUGCCACGGUGAAUACGUUCCCGGGUCUUGUACACACG